UACGUAGGGACCGAGCGUUGUCCGGAUUCAUUGGGCGUAAAGAGCUCGUAGGCGGCCACUCAAGUCGAAUGUGAAAUCUCGAGGCUCAACCUCGAGCCUGCAUUCGAUACUGGGCGGCUAGAGUCUGGUAGGGGGAUCUGGAAUUCCUGGUGUAGCGGUGGAAUGCGCAGAUAUCAGGAGGAACACCGAUGGCGAAGGCAGUUCUCUGGGCCGUAACUGACGCUGAGGAGCGAAAGCGUGGGGAGCGAACAGG
rnacentral:rRNA from 1 species